rnacentral:rRNA from 1 species
ACUCAAAUGAAUAGACGGGGGCCCGCACAAGCGGCGGAGCGUGCGGUUUAAUUCGACGCAACGCGCAGAACCUUACCCGGGCUUGACAUGCGCCUGCAGAGCCGGGAAACCGGUUGGCCUUCGAGGGUGGCGCACAGGUGCUGCAUGGCUGUCGUCAGCUCGUGUCGUGAGAUGUUGGGUUAAGUCCCGCAACGAGCGCAACCCCCGCGGCCAGUUGCCUGAGGUUUCUGGUCGGACUGCCGGUAGCAAGCCGGAGGAAGGUGGGGAUGAUGUCAAGUCAGCAUGGCCCUUACGUCCGGGGCGACACGCACGCUACAAUGGCCAGGACAGUGGGUUGCCAAGGCGCGAGCCGGAGCCAAUCCCCCAAACCUGGUCUCAGUUCGGAUGGCGGGCUGCAACUCGCCCGCCUGAAGGUGGAGUCGCUAGUAACCGCGGGUCAGCACUACCGCGGUGAAUACGUUCCCGGGCCUUGUACACACCGCCCGU